AAAUCAUUUAGAAUUUUGUAUCCAAUAUCUCGAACAGUUCUUUAGUUUGUCUAACUAAAGGUCCCUGAUUUCUAGGUAUUGUUACGAGGAGGCCACUGGUGUUGCAACUUCAUAAGACAGAAGAUGGUCAGACUGAGUAUGCGGAGUUUCUUCAUGCUCCUAGAAAGAAGUAUACUGAUUUUGCUGCUGUGCGUAAGGAGAUCCAAGAUGAGACAGAUCGUAUUACUGGGAAAUCUAAGCAAAUAUCUAACAUUCCAAUUCAUCUGAGCAUAUAUUCUCCAAAUGUUGUAAACUUGACAGUCAUAGAUCUUCCUGGGUUGACAAAGGUUGCUGUAGAGGGACAACCGGAAACCAUUGUUGAAGAUAAUGAAAAUAUGGUCCGCUCUUAUGUUGAGAAGGUGAGUACAUGAAACAUUUCUUUUUUAUUUCUCUCUGUUCUUUUUUUAUAUUUUUAUUUUUGAAUUCGAAAUAAAUGGUGGCAGUUUUCCUAGCUCAUGUAGUCAC